AUGCCACGCGGAGCAGGAUCCGGAGGCUGCAGACCCAGCGUCGCGAGAGCGUGGCGGAGAACUUCGUGGUGGCGGGGGAGGGUCACGCGAGCGGCGAGGUGCAGGGGACGCAGAGGCAGCCACGGGGCGCCGCCACGGCCCCCGGUGCUGCGCGGAAGAAGCAGCUGGUGGAGAAGCCCGCCGCCGCCGACGGCGCUGCGCGGAGGAAGCAGCUGCUGA
rnacentral:rRNA from 1 species